GCCAUGCCUGGAAAAUUACUUGGGCUUCUGAAGGGUGAGAAGAAGAGAGGGGAUAAAGACUUAGCAGAGUCUGUCAGAAACCGAAAGUUUCAUGUUUUCAUGUCCCACAUUCGAUGCUUUUUUUUUUUUUUCUUUUUUUUUUUUUUUUUCCAAAGCUCUGAUACAUAUAUAUAGAGAUUUUCUUUCUUCUAUCCCCGUUUUCAGUUCCCAACCAGGAACCAAAAGUGCUAGAAAUACUUCUAAGGGAUGUCUGCAUAGCCAAUUGUCCAAUUUCACAGACUUUAAUGGCUUCUACUGGAACUUCUGUCUGCCAUGCUCCAAACCAGACACAGUAAAUGACAACGACAGAAAGCCAAGGUCUCUGUAUAAUAUUAUUCAAUCCUGUUAUCUUGGUUAAUUUUAAAUGUCACAAGCACUGGAGUUUCUACUAUUUCUCCACAGAGGUAAGUCUGGGAUCUAAUGGAUAUUCCUUUUUGAUUUUUUUUUUUUUCCUAAUUAUGACCUUAUAUUUUUACUCCAGUGAAGUUUCACCACAGCCACACUGUCGUAAUUGAGGGCAAAAUUUGGCCCUUUGACAUCAAUGGAAUUAUAGUAGAGAUGAAUGCGUUCCACUUAGAUCAUAAAAUCUUUCCUUGUAAAUCAAUCCUUCCAGUCCCUAAAUCAUCUCUGAAGAUGUUCUUUGAGUCCCCUCCAAGUUGUCAAUAUGUUGUUGAUGCUGAGAUACUCAGAACUGACUGAAUGUUUGUCUCAUUGAGUCCAG
rnacentral:lncRNA from 1 species